ACCUUUCCUCCCUUAACUGGGUGCUGUAGCUCAGCAACAAGAAAAGCAACUAAGACAAAGGUCGGGACCAUUAAGCAUAAAACUAAGGCUCCACUCAGCCACUUCUCCCUUUCUGGAGAUAACUAUUAUCUUGAAGUUGAUGUCUGCCAUAUCUGGAGGCUGAAGAGUCUGCACUGGAAGCCAAGAGACGACAUCCCAGGUGAAGGUGAAGACUGGAGCUCCUGUGAAGAAACAGAAGCUAGCCCUCUUUCUUCAUUGUCCUUUUAUCCCAGUCAGGCCACAAGCCUACCCAGGCUGGGUCUUCUGUCUUCAGUAAAUACCCUCAGCCACACCCAGAACUACACUGAUCCAAUUUAGUUAGGUGUUUCUUACUCAAGUUGACAUAAUCAGUUAACUGUCACAGAAACUAAAAGAGAACAAAAAGGCCAAAAAGGGAGGAAAAAAAACCCCUAUGCCUCCUAAAAUCUCAAUGAAGGAAAAGAGAAAAAUAAAAACAUAGUAAAAGUUUUUUUAAAA
rnacentral:lncRNA from 1 species